rnacentral:rRNA from 1 species
GAUUAACGCUGGCGGCGUGCAUAACACAUUCAAGUCGAACGGUGUAGCAAUACACAGUGGCGGACGGGUGAGUAACGCGUGAGCAAUCUACCUUCCAGUGCGGAAUAACAACCGGAAACAGUUGCUAAUACCGCAUGAAACGGCAGCACCGCAUGGUGCAACCGUCAAAGGCUUGCUGCUGGAAGACGAGCUUGCGUCUGAUUAGAUAGUUGGUGAGGUAGCGGCUCACCAAGUCAACGAUCAGUAGCCGGACUGAGAGGUUGAACGGCCACAUUGGAACUGAGAUACGGUCCAGACUCCUACGGGAGGCAGCAGUGGGGAAUAUUGGGCAAUGGGGGCAACCCUGACCCAGCAACGCCGCGUGAAGGAAGAAGGUCUUCGGAUCGUAAACUUCUAUCCUUGGUGAAGAUAAUGACGGUAGCCGAGAAGGAAGCCCCGGCUAACUACGUGCCAGCAGCCGCAGUAAAAC